rnacentral:piRNA from 1 species
UGAGGUUUCAAGGGUUGCUAGGGGAA